GAUGAACGCUGGCGGCGUGCCUAACACAUGCAAGUCGAACGGGGUUACUUCGCCGUUUGAAGCUUCGGCAGAAAACAUGAGGUAACUUAGUGGCGAACGGGUGAGUAACGCGUGGGCAACCUGCCCCGUACCGGGGGAUAGCAGUUGGAAACGACUGAUAAUACCGCAUAAGCGCACGGUCUCGCAUGGGACAGUGUGAAAAACUCCGGUGGUACGGGAUGGGCCCGCGUCUGAUUAGCUAGUUGGCGGGGUAACGGCCCACCAAGGCGACGAUCAGUAGCCGGGCUGAGAGGCCGGACGGCCACAUUGGGACUGAGACACGGCCCAGACUCC
rnacentral:rRNA from 1 species